UAAAUAUGAGACACGCGUAUUACACAGAUUCUUUCCUAUGUCUUCUCCAUGCUCUUUUUUUUUAACGGACAACAUUCCAAGAUUUUGUGAAAAUAAAUACAAGUCCUGACAUUAGUGACAUUGCAUUGCAUUACUCAGCUCAGUCUCAGUCCAGUCUUCUUCACGUACUGAAUCUCAUCAUUUCUUAAUUUUUUCGUAUAGACUUGCAGCAACUUCAUUAGUUUUUCGUUUUUAUUUUUUUCUCAAGUUUUCCCCUUCUUGUUGCUUUGACGCAAUCUUUAGUUCAGCUUUUUUUUAACUCGUCCCAAAUUCACAAUUUUUUGACCUCUUCUUCUUCCACAUUUGCUAUUUUAACACAGGACAAUGCCCUGGCCCAAGAGCAAAUCAGUCCAGCAGCGCAAGUUGCUGACUCCGUUACAGGAAUUGAAUCAGGAAAAAGAUCGGAACGUCCGUAAUCUACGAGGUAGAAUGAGUCGUAAAGCCAAAGACAAAGAGUUGUAUUCAAAGUAUCAAGAUUUGUCUUCAGCGGAUUCUGGGAAUGAGGGACAAGAUUUUCCGUCUCAAAAUUCUACUCUUAACGGAGAUAAUGGAUAUCUUGAGUUAGGUCAACGCGUCAUGAUCAAGAUAAAACAAGAAAUUGCAGAAGAAGACGAUAUUGAUUAUCAUGAAUUGUAUCUUCAAAGGACUAAACGAAAUCCGAAAGUGCCAAAGGGAAAUCAUGCUUGUAUAACUUGUGGAAAGGAAUCGUCAACUUCGUUUCCCUGGCCAAGUUUGCCAACUUUGCCACCGGAUGCCAUAGUUGAUGCGGGUGAUUUGGGCGAAAUACAAGGAGCCUACACUUAUACUUCCCCCAAUGGGAAAAGGUUUUAUUGGUUUGCCGGCAUCCCCUAUGCAGAUCCUGCAUCUUAUACGGGCGAUAACCGGUUUAGGCCAUCUUCUCUGGUGACGGGCCCACUUUCAUCGGAUAAGCCAUUUCCUGCCGUAAACUUUCUAGUUACCUGUCCUCAACGAGACAUUUUCUACCGGACCAAUACGAAUAUGAGUGAUCUUGGCGAGGUAAUGCAGACCUAUAGGAAAAGUCUCACUAGGAAAAGUCGAGAACAAUUUAAGGCCAGUCCGAGAUGGAUGGGAGAUGAGGAAUGUUUGGUCAUUAACGUGAAUACCCCAAAGAUUCCAAGUGCAGGGGACACGACGCUGCUGCCCGUACUAUUUUUCAUCCACGGAGGAUCCUUUGAUUCAAUUUGGGGAGGAAUAUUUGGCGGACAUCGAUUCAUUAAUAGAGACGUUGUGGUUGUAACAAUAAACUAUAGACUUGGACUUUUGGGUUCUUUAAACCUUGGAGUGGACGAAGCGCCUGGAAAUGCAGCAAUGUACGAUGUGAUCACUGCUUUAGAAUGGACGCAAAAAUACAUUCAUCACUUCGGAGGAGACAAGGAUAGUGUAACCGUAUCUGGUCACUCAGCUGGGUCCGUCAUGGCCACGCACCUUCUCACGAGUCCUUUAACCAGAGAUUCCAACCUAUUCCACAAAGUCAUCGGACUUUCCGGAAGUUCUGUGAGUGCAUGGGCCACGUGUACAGAUCCUGCCAGCAAUUAUUUGAGAACGGCGAGACAUGCCAACUGCAAUCAAACUGAUAAUACGGAAAUUGCGUUAUGCAUGCGAGGGAAAUCCAUUGACGAAUUAAUGCAAGCUCUGAACAACUGGGAGGGUGAGGAAACAGCGCAAGGAAAAUUUGGCUUUGACGCUAAAAUACCAUCCCUGCAAACCUCGCCAUUACCGAAUACACCAAUUUUUAUGGACGAAACUCCACUUCAAGUGUUUCUUCAAGGGAGACAGAAAGAUGUUCCAGUGAUGCUUGGAGCUACGCGGCAUGAUGGAUCAUUUGUAAUGGAAGGAACGUACGAAGACUUUCUCCUGCGACAAGGAUGGCUGGACGACAUGACGAAAUUGAGGAACGAGUUUUUCCCUUUGCUGUUAAACGGGCUGGGAAUGGAGGAUACCACUGGAGGAGCAAUGCUGCAUUCCAUGGCGCACACGUAUCUUGGACCCGACGCAAUGAAUUCGGACAAUUUCACCGAUAUGAUUCCCGGAAUGAUUGAUAUCCAUUCCGUUAUCGCAUUUAAAGCUGGUGCUUACAAUUUGCUGGAGUUACAUUCGAAAGUAAAUCCGCAAAGCUAUUAUUUCGCGUUUGAUUAUUAUGGGUUUUGGACGGUGGACGGAGGAGAUGUGAUUCCCGGAGGUAAGUUGGGCAUAUAGACAGCAUUUUCUACCUUUUCCAAGCAUUUCCUUUGGUCGUUUGGCCACCUGAUUUGGCCGUCAGCAGGCGUUUUGUAGACUACUGGGUCAACUUUGCAGAAUUCGGAGAUCCAAACGGGCCAGAAGGAUCUGACAUUUUAUUUCCACCCUACGACCCACACACUCACACGUACCUCAUUAUCAACGGAUCAGAUAAAAUUGGCUACAACUGCAGAGAUAGCUGGAUUGAUAACUCGAUUGAAAUCAAAGAUAAUCAACGACCUGGGUGGUGGCCUGGUCCAACAUUGAGACCAAUCAUUUCAACACCGUCUGGUUCUGAUACUCCUCCAACCACGACACCAGGAUCUUCAGAUUCAACAACUACACCUGGGUCGUCAGAUGCCACUACGACGUCCGGAUCUUCAGACGCCACAACGCAACCACCACAAGACACAAGUACAAGUACUAAUCCGACCUCAACAAAUACCGGUGAAACGUCCCCAAGUAGCACCACCGAGUCAGGAGACAGUUUCGCAAAUUAUACCAAACCUUUCAAAUUUGUAAUCUUUCUGUUCGCAAUUGCUACUAUUUUUCAUUAACUGGAGUGCGUAUUAAACAAAUGAGUGUCAUUUUGAAUUUAUUUAA